UGGGGAAUAUUGGACAAUGGGCGAAAGCCUGAUCCAGCCAUGCCGCGUGUGUGAAGAAGGUCUUCGGAUUGUAAAGCACUUUAAGUUGGGAGGAAGGGCAGUAAGUUAAUACCUUGCUGUUUUGACGUUACCAACAGAAUAAGCACCGGCUAACUUCGUGCCAGCAGCCGCGGUAAUACGAAGGGUGCAAGCGUUAAUCGGAAUUACUGGGCGUAAAGCGCGCGUAGGUGGUUCAGCAAGUUGGAGGUGAAAUCCCCGGGCUCAACCUGGGAACUGCCUCCAAAACUACUGAGCUAGAGUACGGUAGAGGGUAGUGGAAUUUCCUGUGUAGCGGUGAAAUGCGUAGAUAUAGGAAGGAACACCAGUGGCGAAGGCGACUACCUGGACUGAUACUGACACUGAGGUGCGAAAGCGUGGGGAGCAAACAGAAUUAGAUACCCUGGUAGUCCACGCCGUAAACGAUGUCGACUAGCCGUUGGGAUCCUUGAGAUCUUAGUGGCGCAGCUAACGCAUUAAGUCGACCGCCUGGGGAGUACGGCCGCAAGGUUA
rnacentral:rRNA from 1 species